GGAUUAGAUACCCUGGUAGUCCACGCCCUAAACGAUGUCAACUAGUUGUUGGAAGAGGAGACUCUUUUAGUAACGAAGCUAACGCGUGAAGUUGACCGCCUGGGGAGUACGGUCGCAAGAUUAAAACUCAAAGGAAUUGACGGGGACCCGCACAAGCGGUGGAUGAUGUGGAUUAAUUCGAUGCAACGCGAAAAACCUUACCUACCCUUGACAUGUGCAGAACUUUAUAGAGAUAUAUUGGUGCCCGAAAGGGAGCUGCAACACAGGUGCUGCAUGGCUGUCGUCAGCUCGUGCCG
rnacentral:rRNA from 1 species